UGAAUACGAGAUGCUACGGCGUCGAAGCAGUGUAUGUCAGACUUCCAAGAAAAGCUCGCAAUGUCAUAAAUAAAGAAUGCCUGUACCAUAACCGACACAGGUGGGUAGGUAGAGUAUACUAAGGGGCGCGAGAUAACUCUCUCUAAGGAACUCGGCAAAAUAACUCCGUAACUUCGGGAGAAGGAGUGCCUUCUUUAAGAAGGUUGCAAUAACAAGAUCCAAGCAACUGUUUACCAAAAACACAGGUCUCCGCUAAGUCGUAAGACGAUGUAUGGGGGCUGACGCCUGCCCAGUGCCAGAAGGUUAAAGAAGUUGGUUAGCUUUUGCGAAGCUGAUGACUGAAGCCCUGGUGAACGGCGGCCGUAACGAUAACGGUCCUAAGGUAGCGAAAUUCCUUGUCGGGUAAGUUCCGACCCGCACGAAAGGCGUAAUGAUUUGGAUACUGUCUCGGAGAGGGACUCGGUGAAAUAGACUUGUCUGUGAAGAUGCGGACUACCUGCACCAGGACAGAAAGACCCUAUGAAGCUUUACUGUAACUUGAAAUUGAAAUUGGACUUUAUUUGCGCAGUAUAGGUGGAAGGCGUUGAAAGUAAUCUUGCGGGAUUAGCGGAGCCAUCAGUGAGAUACCACUCCUAUAAUGUUAGAUUUCUAACUUUGGAUCAUGAUCUCGUCAAAGAACAGUUUCAGGCGGGCAGUUUGACUGGGGCGGUCGCCUCCCAAAUGGUAACGGAGGCGUACAAAGGUUUCCUCUGAACGGGUAGAAAUCGUAUCUAGAGUGUAAAGGCAUAAGGAAGCUUGACUGUGAGACCUACAAGUCGAGCAGGGACGAAAGUCGGUCCUAGUGAUCUGACGGUGCUGAGUGGAAAGGCCGUCACUCAACGGAUAAAAGUUACUCUAGGAUAACAGGCUGAUCUCCCCCAAGAGUUCACAUCGACGGGGAGGUUUGGCACCUCGAUGUCGGCUCAUCGCAUCCUGGGGCGGUAGUACGUCCCAAGGGUUGGGCUGUUCGCCCAUGAAAGCGGUACGCGAGCUGGGUUCAGAACGUCGUGAGACAGUUCGGUCCAUAUCCGGUGUAGGCGUUAGAAUAUUGAGAGGAGCCUUCUUUAGUACGAGAGGACCGAGAAGGACAUACCUCUGGUGUACCAGUUAUCGUGCCAACGGUAAACGCUGGGUAGCUAUGUAUGGAGAGGAUAACCGCUGAAAGCAUCUAAGUGGGAAGCCCACCUCAAGAUGAG
rnacentral:rRNA from 1 species